ensembl:lncRNA novel transcript
GUGCCUGCAUUUUCCCCGAAUUGUUUAACCCUCAUGCUUCAGAAUUAGGCUGAGGCUUGCGGGGUGGGUCAUGUUGACCUGGGUGAACAGAGAUCCCUUUAAGAAGAACUUCUCCAUGUUCCAGAGGCGCGUUCUUACUGCAGAUGGCGACACUGAGGCCCAGAGAGACAUCAUGACCAGCCUCAGGUCCCACAUGCAGCCUGCUGCUCUGUAGCCUAAAUCAGAUCACUGUCCCAGCUUUCAGGUCAAGGCUCUGGUUGUGACACCUGGGCCUGGACUGCGGGUGAAAAGUUUUGAUGCAAAAACACAGACCGUCCAUUGUCCUAUGGGCUAAGUGGACUCCCUUCUGCUAACCAGAGAUGCUUGUGCUGGC